CCUACGGGAGGCAGCAGUGAGGAAUAUUGGUCAAUGGGCGCGAGCCUGAACCAGCCAAGUCGCGUGAGGGAAGACGGUCCUAUGGAUUGUAAACCUCUUUUGUCGGGGAACAAAGGCGUCCACGGGUGGGCGGAUGAGUGUACCCGAAGAAAAAGCAUCGGCUAACUCCGUGCCAGCAGCCGCGGUAAUACGUGGGAUGCGAGCGUUAUCCGGAUUUAUUGGGGUAAAGGGGUGCGUAGGCGGACAGUCAAGUCAGCGGUAAAAAUGCAGUGCUCAACGCCGUACAGCCGUUGAAACUGGCAGUCUUGAGUGGGCGAGAGGAAUGCGGAAUGCGUGGUGUAGCGGUGAAAUGCAUAGAUAUCACGCAGAACAUCGAUUGCGAAGGCAGCAUACCGGCGCCCUACUGACGCUGAGGCACGAAAGCGUGGGUAUCGAACAGGAUUAGAUACCCUUGUAGUC
rnacentral:rRNA from 1 species